rnacentral:rRNA from 1 species
GACGAACCGUGCGAACGUUGUUCGGAAUCACUGGGCUUAAAGGGCGCGUAGGCGGCAGAUCAAGUCCGGGGUGAAAUCCUCCAGCUCAACUGGAGAAGUGCCUUGGAUACUGAUUUGCUCGAGGGAGGUAGGGGGUCGAGGGAACUUCUGGUGGAGCGGUGAAAUGCGUUGAUAUCAGAAGGAACGCCGGUGGCGAAAGCGCUCGACUGGAUCUCUUCUGACGCUGAGGCGCGAAAAGCUAGGGGGAGCAAACGGGG